AGAAAAUAGAUACCCUGGUAGUCCACGCUGUAAACGAUGAUUACUCGAUGUUGGCGAUACACAGUCAGCGUCUGAGCGAAAGCAAUAAGUAAUCCACCUGGGGAGUACGAUCGCAAGAUUGAAACUCAAAGGAAUUGACGGGGGCCCGCACAAGCGGAGGAGCAUGUGGUUUAAUUCGAUGAUACGCGAGGAACCUUACCUGGGCUCGAACGUAAGAUGACUGUAGGUGAAAGCUUACAUCUCUUCGGAGCAUUUUACGAGGUGCUGCAUGGUUGUCGUCAGCUCGUGCCGUGAGGUGUCGGGUUAAGUCCCAUAACGAGCGCAACCCCUACCUUAGUUGCCAACAGGUCAUGCUGGGGACUCUAAAGGAACUGCCUACGCAAGUAGUGAGGAAGGCGGGGAGUGACGUCAAAUCAGCACGGCCCUUACGUCCAGGGCUACACACGUGCUACAAUGGCCGAUACAGAGGGCAGCUACCUGGUGACAGGAUGCAAAUCUCCAAACGUACGGUCUCAGUUCGGA
rnacentral:rRNA from 1 species